rnacentral:rRNA from 1 species
GUCUUAUUGAUAAUAAUUUUAAGUCUAAUCUGCCCAGUGAUUUAUUAAAUGGCUGCAGUAUUUUAACUGUACAAAGGUAGCAUAAUAAUUAGUUUCUUAAUUAGGAACUGGAAUGAAAGAUUGAACGAGACAAUAACUGUCUUAAUAUAAAUUUAAGAAUUUUAUUUUUAAGUUAAAAAGCUUAAAUUUUUUUAAAAGACGAGAAGACCCUAUAGAAUUUUAUAUUAUUUUUUUGUUUAGAUUUUAGAAUUUAAAUUUUAAAUUUUAUUAAGAUUAUUUAGUUGGGGUGAUUGAAAAAUUUAUUUAACUUUUUUUAAAGAUUUACAUUUAUUUAUGUUUUAUUGAUCCAAUAUUUUUGAUUAUAAGAUUAAAUUACCUUAGGGAUAACAGCGUAAUUUUUUUAGAGAGUUCUUAUCGAUAAAAGAGAUUGCGACCUCGAUGUUGGAUUAAAGUUAAUUUUUGAUGUAGAAGUUAAAAUAUUAGGUCUGUUCGACCUUUAAAACUUUACAUGAUCUGAGUUUAAAUCGGCGUGAGCCAGGUUGGAUUCUAUCUUUAAAUAGUUAUUAUGUUUUAGUACGAAAGGACCAAACAUGAUUUAUAUUAAAUUUAAGAGAAUGAUA